rnacentral:rRNA from 1 species
GUACGUCUAUUCUAGAGUUUGAUCCUGGCUCAGGACGAACGCUGGCGGCAUGCCUAACACAUGCAAGUCGAACGGAGUUUCUCAAAUGGAUCCCUUCGGGGUGAAGCCUUUGAAACUUAGUGGCGGACGGGUGAGUAACGCGUGGGUAACCUGCCCUUUUGUGGGGAACAACUUCGAGAAAUCGGAGCUAAUACCGCAUAUACUUACGGGAUCGCAUGAUCCUGUAAGGAAAGAUGGCCUCUGAAUAUGCUAUCGCAAAAGGAUGGACCCGCGUCUGAUUAGCUAGUUGGUGAGGUAACGGCUCACCAAGGCGACGAUCAGUAGCCGGCCUGAGAGGGUGAACGGCCACAUUGGGACUGAGACACGGCCCAA